rnacentral:lncRNA from 1 species
AAUAUAUGGUCUUCAAGUAUAUUGUUAUAUAAUUUCAACUAAUUAAAACAAAUCCUAACAAAUCCUAAAAUUUAAUUAAUUAAUUAAUAAUAGGAAACAAAUUAGUGGAAACAAAUAAAAAUAACAAUAUUUUAGCAAUAUAAAUAUCCGAAAUAAUAACAUAAUUUUAUAUUAGAUAAGAAUAAAUAAUAUUAUUUUUAUCUUAUAAAAAAAAUCUAAUUUUCGAAAAAAUUAAAAAAUAAUAUCCAAAAACAAAUCUAGUAUUAUUUUAAGGAGAAACACAAAAUUAGUUGAAACAAAUUAAUAAAAAACAAAUAAACACAUAAUUUAGGAGAAAUAAUUUUUGAAAAAAAUAAUAAUAUUAAUUUAGAAAAAAAAAUAGCUAGAAACAAACCUAGAAUUAUUAUAACAAGAAACACUAAAUUAUUGGUAACAAAUCAAUGAUUAAAUUUAAAAACAAAUAAAUCAAAAUCAAAACCGAACAAAAAUUAAAAAAAAAAUCGAAUUAUAUAAAUUAUAAAAUUUCCCACACUCUAAAUAAUGGAAUCAAACUAAUCAACCGAAAACAAUGGAUCAUAAAUGGCCGAAAAAUGUAGAUAAAAUGGUAGAAAAAAAAGAAAGAAAAUGGAUAGAAUAAAUCAAGGAUAAAUCAGUAAAUAUACUAAAUCCAUAAAACCGGC